rnacentral:rRNA from 1 species
UACGUAGGGUGCAGGCGUUAAUCGGAAUUACUGGGCGUAAAGCGUGCGCAGGCGGUUUUGUAAGCCAGAUGUGAAAUCCCCGGGCUUAACCUGGGAAUGGCAUUUGGGACUGCAAGGCUUGAGUGCGGCAGAGGAGACUGGAAUUCCUGGUGUAGCAGUGAAAUGCGUAGAUAUCAGGAGGAAUACCGAUGGCGAAGGCAGGUCUCUGGGCUGACACUGACGCUCAUGCACGAAAGCGUGGGGAGCAAACAGG